rnacentral:lncRNA from 1 species
CCUAGCUCCUUCAUGUAUUCAUCAAAGCCUUUGCUGUCCACCAGGCGCCAUCUUCCUUCCAGCUGCUGAACUGUGGCCAUGGGUACGCGACGGCCUCUCGGGCGCCUCCUGCAAGCAGGGACUCGCCCGGCGCGCCCCACGCCUCAUGGACGCCGGCGCCUGCACGUUUCGGCGCCUCUGCAGGCCCAGGAAGCCAGAGGGGUCACCUGGAGGCCUGGCCCCGCCUCUCCUGCACCCCUCCGUUUGACAACAUAUCCACCGCCGUUUUUCCUUUCAAAAUACCCGGACCAAUCGAUUAGCCCUCGCCGGACUCGGACUGCAGGAAGUGAUUGAUCGGCUGUUUGGUUUAUUGAUUCAUUAACUACGGUGCCUCCCUGACCUUCUGCUCCUCGCCAGCGCACAAGCUCACAAUCCACACCCUCCUAAGAGAACCUGCUCUCGCCAUCCGCAGGUCUCCCUGGCCCAAUAGUGGGGAUAUACCUGAGUUGAGCUAGAGGAUUUUAUCCCUGUUGGGAUGGGGGACGUCUCGGGAAGUGUGGUUUCUAAACUAAAAGACUGCAGGAAGUGUCAA